UACAAGCUAGGAAAAAUCAAAUGUGAGUCAUAGACCUCUCAUUAUUGUUUAGCUUCCACUCACAUUUUUUUCCUCCUUUAUCUUUGAGGCUAAACCGAUAGGAAUUCCCGGAGCUUUGCUGUGCAGUUGUGAGGCAACAUGAGAAAGUCAGGACACACUCAGCAAAACGCUGACGAACAGCCGCUGGGGAUUUCUGGAGAUGUCACAGAGUUUUUGGAUUUCCAAAGAGCCGGAGGAGGAGUCAAACUCCUUUUAAGGUCCUUCGGAAUACGAGUAGGGGGUUUCGACUCGGCUACUUGCAUUCCACGUGUUGAAAACUUUCGACUGUGACGUCUUAUUUCGUGCCUGGACAGGUUUGCUGGCUCAACAUAUGCGCAGACAUUUAAACAUUUAGCGACAUUUGGUGGUCUUGCACACACACUGGUGUUCUUAACCACGUGAUAAACAACAAAUGAUUAUUGCUGUCUUAUAUCAAGAUCUCCUGAGUCACUCAAAAUGACUCAUUUAAUGGCUGAAAUAACGACUCAUUUUAUGAUAGUUUACUACUGUAUAUCCGUGUCUUAACGGGAAAUAAGAUAAGACACAUGUGGUAAAAAUAUGGCAUUCAAUACGUACAUACUGUGCAUAUACUGUGUAUACUGUAUUCAUUCUUUUGUUUCUUCAGUAGAGCCAAAUCAGGUGUUCAAAAUAAGUAUUUUUUGGCAAAUAAGUAACCAGGAUCCUUCAGAAUGAUUAAAGAGAAUGUAUUAUGUCAACACUGCCCAAAAAAAGGGCACGUACCGUAUAUUCAUAAGUUUUCAAAUAUAAAACUAUAAUGAAUGCCAGUAUAUUGUUUUGCAUUUCGGGCCAGAAGAUAACCUUUCAGAAAAAAAAAAUCACAACAUUUAACCAAGGUAUGAA